UAUAGAGGCCCGGUCCAAGAUCAAGACCCGGUGCCCAGGUCGGAGGCGCAGCAGCCGCCGCCGCCGCCGCCUCCCUCCGCCCGAUACAGCGCUGCCCCUGUUUCUUCGCCAUGUUUUCUCACGUCGAGUUCAAUUCGACGGCAGUGGCACCUACACCUCGCGCACCCCAUCUGAUCUUAUUUCAUCAGGCAUUGUGGCAGCGGCGGCAGUGGCAGCGGCUCCCCCUCCCCCGGCAGGCAUCAUAACCUUUCCUCGCGCGGCGAGCAGUGGCGGCGUUUCUCACCGAACAGUUUUCGUCAGGCUGAGCCUGGAACAUCAAGUAGAAGCACCAGACAGCAAUCACGAGUUCAAGGAAUUUAAACAGAUCUGAACCUCGAAGAAUGGCUUCCUGAUUCUGCCCCGUCAUGUGGCCGCUGCUGGAGUGUUGGAGAUGCUUUACUGGACCAUUUGGAGUGCUGGACUUGUUAUUACUUACUGAAGUCUAUACGUGUGGAAGUGAUACUUGUGAAAUUUGAUCUUGUGUGUUUUGCUUAAGAAAAUGAUAUGAACCUUUGAUUUUAGUUGAAUAUCUCUCUUCUGAAGA